rnacentral:rRNA from 1 species
UGCAAGUCGAAGGGGUACAGGAGAAAGCUUGCUUUUUUGCUGACGACCGGCGCACGGGUGCGUAACGCGUAUACAAUCUACCUCUUACUGAGGGAUAGCCCAUGGAAACGUGGAUUAAUACCUCAUAGUAUUAUUGAUCGGCAUCGAUUAGUGAUUAAAGGUUACGGUAAGAGAUGAGUAUGCGUCCUAUUAGCUAGAUGGUAAGGUAACGGCUUACCAUGGCAACGAUAGGUAGGGGUCCUGAGAGGGAGAUCCCCCACACUGGUACUGAGACACGGACCAGACUCCUACGGGAGGCAGCAGUGAGGAAUAUUGGACAAUGGGCGAGAGCCUGAUCCAGCCAUGCCGCGUGCAGGAAGACUGCCCUAUGGGUUGUAAACUGCUUUUACAGAGGAAGAAACCCCUUUACGUGUAAAGGGCUGACGGUACUCUGCGAAUAAGGAUCGGCUAACUCCGUGCCAGCAGCCGCGGUAAUACGGAGGAUCCAAGCGUUAUCCGGAAUCAUUGGGUUUAAAGGGUCCGUAGGCGGAUUUAUAAGUCAGUGGUGAAAGUCUUCCGCUUAACGGGAGAACUGCCAUUGAUACUGUAGAUCUUGAAUUAUUAUGAAGUGGUUAGAAUGUGUAGUGUAGCGGUGAAAUGCAUAGAUAUUACACAGAAUACCGAUUGCGAAGGCAGAUCACUAAUAAUAUAUUGACGCUGAUGGACGAAAGCGUAGGUAGCGAACAGGAUUAGAUACCCUGGUAGUCUACGCCGUAAACGAUGGUUACUAGCUGUCCGGCCUAAUUGAGGGCUGGGUGGUUAAGCGAAAGUGAUAAGUAACCCACCUGGGGAGUACGUUCGCAAGAAUGAAACUCAAAGGAAUUGACGGGGGCCCGCACAAGCGGUGG